GUGGGUGAUGUAGCUAGUAUUCAUCAGAUAUGCUAGCCCUAUGGUCGACUAAUGUUGUGAUGGUACAUGGGUUUGAAUUUCUUUGCAUCUUCUGCGAUUGGUUAUCUCUUUUGGAUUGUGUACGAACGGAGGUCUUUGUUGGUGGGAGGAAAGGUGCACCGACGUAAUUUGGAUCAGAGCAGUGCUUCUAAGAAGGGGCAUCAGGAAUGAUAGGAAGGGGAAACAACUUUUGAACAGUUGGCCACUAGAAAAACAACGCGACUGGAAGCCGUUGGUCAAGAAGCCACAUUGCCUAGGACAAUCUCCAUUUUUUCAAGUUAUGUAAAUAACAUCCUUAAUGUUAGUCGUGUAACGUGCAGCCGUAACCUUUGUAUUAAACUUGGAUACCAUCUUUUGGGGUACACCAUAUCUAAUCGAUGUGACUGUGACUUUGAUGGAAUGCCACACGGCUUAAGAGAAAUAUAAAU